GUAGCGCAGCUUGGUAGCGCGUCUCGUUCGGGACGAGAAGGUCGCUGGUUCGAAUCCAGUC
rnacentral:tRNA from 1 species